rnacentral:lncRNA from 10 species
GGACAGACAAGGAAAGAAGAAACAGGCUGGCUCUCCAACAGCAGGGACUUUGUUUAGAUAGUAGGAGGAACUGGCCGUCACUACAGAUUAACUUUAAAACCUAACUAAUGUGGACUAAUUGGAGGGAGGCCUUCACCUUGCCUUGCAGACAGCUGUGGUGGUUCUUCAUUCUCCCUGCUGGAGAGACUUGCCCUGCCUCCUCCUAUUAAUGGCAGUGGGUAGCCCCAUCCCCUGCCUCUGCGGCCCACCCCAUGCCCCACAGUGGCCAAGGGAUGCUGAGAAGCCUGGCAGGGGAGGCACAGCUGAGCAAGACAAGAACUCCAGUCAACAGCACCAGAGGAGGGCCUUGGAGUCUGUGUCCCCUCCUAACUCAUCAAGACAAGCCUGCCACCCAGACACAGGGAGAGGUGCUGGCUUGCAGGUCUAGAACCCUGAACUGAUGCCAUGAUAAGCACUUCCACCCAGCAGGGCAGCAUCUCUGACUCCGAUCUCCUCCUGGCCAUUACCUUCCCUCUGGGGCCGUGUUUUUCCAAAUACAGCCAAAGAUGCCCCUUAUUCCUGAGCCCA